rnacentral:rRNA from 1 species
GAUGAACGCUGGCGGCGUGCUUAACACAUGCAAGUCGAACGGUGAAGGCGGAGCUUGCUCUGCUGGAUCAGUGGCGAACGGGUGAGUAACACGUGAGCAAUCUGCCCCUGACUCUGGGAUAAGCGCUGGAAACGGCGUCUAAUACUGGAUACGAGCUGCGAAGGCAUCUUCAGCAGCUGGAAAGAACUUCGGUCAGGGAUGAGCUCGCGGCCUAUCAGCUUGUUGGUGAGGUAACGGCUCACCAAGGCGUCGACGGGUAGCCGGCCUGAGAGGGUGACCGGCCACACUGGGACUGAGACACGGCCCAGACUCCUACGGGAGGCAGCAGUGGGGAAUAAUGCACAAUGGGCGAAAGCCUUAAGCAGCAACGCCGCGUGAGGGACGACGGCCUUCGGGUUGGAAACCUCUUUUAGCAGGGAAGAAGCGAAAGUGACGGUACCUGCAGAAAAAGCGCCGGCUAACUACGUG